rnacentral:rRNA from 1 species
UACGUAGGGUGCGAGCGUUAAUCGGAAUUACUGGGCGUAAAGCGUGCGCAGGCGGCUUUGCAAGACAGAUGUGAAAUCCCCGGGCUUAACCUGGGAACUGCAUUUGUGACUGCAUGGCUGGAGUGCGGCAGAGGGGGAUGGAAUUCCGCGUGUAGCAGUGAAAUGCGUAGAUAGUGCGGAGGAACACCGAUGGCGAAGGCAAUCCCCUGGGCCUGCACUGACGCUCAUACACGAAAGCGUGGGGAGCAAACAGG